GGCUUGGUGGUGGAUGGUUCACACCUGCUCUCUAUAUGCGAAGGAGGAUUAGAAAUGUUAGCUAGCAGGAGAAGCCUGUUCGAAUCAGGCCUGAGCCA